rnacentral:rRNA from 1 species
GAUGAACGCUGGCGGCGUGCUUAACACAUGCAAGUCGAACGAAGCACUUUAUUUGAUUUCCUUCGGGACUGAUUAUUUUGUGACUGAGUGGCGGACGGGUGAGUAACGCGUGGGUAACCUGCCUUGUACAGGGGGAUAACAGUUGGAAACGGCUGCUAAUACCGCAUAAGCGCACAGCAUCGCAUGAUGCAGUGUGAAAAACUCCGGCGGUAUAAGAUGGACCCGCGUUGGAUUAGCUAGUUGGUGAGGUAACGGCCCACCAAGGCGACGAUCCAUAGCCGACCUGAGAGGGUGACCGGCCACAUUGGGACUGAGACACGGCCCAAACUCCUACGGGAGGCAGCAGUGGGGAAUAUUGCACAAUGGGCGAAAGCCUGAUGCAGCGACGCCGCGUGAGCGAAGAAGUAUUUCGGUAUGUAAAGCUCUAUCAGCAGGGAAGAUAAUGACGGUACCUGACGAAGAAGCACCGGCUAAAUACGUG